CGUGAACGGGUAAUGACUGUUUUAAAUUGUAAUGUUUAUUCCAGUUUUCAGUAUGUACACUUUGCUUCUUGUUAUCUAUAUAUACAUUUUUGCAGCCAUUUUAUGAAAUAAAUCUUGGAUUUGGGAUUUAUUUACAGUAGUUGUCACUGGCAUUUAAUAAUUGUUUUUGAUAAUUAGAAAGAAAAUCUUUGAAUUAAAUAUUUGACAAUCUUCCCAAAAUCUCUCCACAUUAACUACACGAUUAGUUACUAAAAUAAACUUCCGAAAUAUUUAAUAUCAUUUAAUUACUACAAAAUUAUCAUUUUUGAUAUUGUUUUUCUACAUGACUAUAAUAAUUCGAUUAUAAUCAUUAAACCGCAGAGAUAUUUGAUAACAUUUAAUUACUACAAAAUUAAAAAAUAUUUAGACAAUGAUUCAUAAACAUAUCAUAAAUAAAACCAGUGAGUUUUUUUUACGGGGCGGAUUGGCGGGACGGAUUUGACAGGACGGUACUUAAUAACAAUCGUAAACUAUAAAAUAAAAAUAUUUUAUAGAUAAAUACAAUUUGCAAACUUUUAUAUAUAGUAACUUUAAAAAAUAAAUUGUCUCCGCCGUAUACCGCGGGUUAAAAUCUAAUUCUUAGUAUAUUUUCUUUGUGAAAGAACAAAAUGCACUAAUUGAAAGAACUCGAAUACGC
rnacentral:sRNA from 1 species